rnacentral:rRNA from 1 species
GACGAACGCUGGCGGCGUGCUUAACACAUGCAAGUCUUUCGGAAAGGCCUUGCUUUUGAGGCUUGCCCAAGUGGCGGAGGGGUGAGUAACUCAGGAAUAUCCCCCCCUUGACUGUGUAAUAACUUCAGAAAACUGGGAAUAAUACGGGAUAGGAGCUCCUGCUACGUGCUGGCUGUUGGAAAGUUGCGGUGGUGGGGGAUAUCCUCGCGUAUUAUCAGCUUGGUGGGGUGGUAGCGCCCCACCGAGGCGAUGAUAGGUAGCCGGCCUGGGAGGGUGGACGGCAACAGGGGGACGGAGAGACGGCCCUUACUCCGACGGGAAGCAGCAGGGAGGAAUAUUGGACAAUGGGGGGAACCCUGAUCCAGCAAUUCUGUGGGCACGAUGAAGGUUGGCGGAUUGUAAAGUGCUUCCAGCAGGGAAGAAAAAAUGACGGUACCGGCAGAAGAAGCGACGGCUAAAUACGUG